UUCCAUUCCAUUCCAUUCCAUUCGUGUUUAUUCCAUUCCAUUCCAUUCCAUUCCAUUCCAUUCCAUUCCACUAGGGUUGAUUCCAUUCCAUUCCAUUCCAUUCUACUCGGGUUCAUUUCAUUUCGUUCCGUUCUAUUCCAUUCCAUUCCAUUGCAUUCAUUUCCUUUCCAUUCCAUUCCACUCCACUCGGGUUGAUUCCAUUCCGUUCCAUUCCAUUC
rnacentral:lncRNA from 1 species